CAGCCAGUCUGCAGCGAGGUUCCCGUGGUAAGAUUUUUCUGGGAGCGACUUUCUGUUUCUAUUUUACGUCCCAUCCUUGUUUUAGCAUCUGUUUUUGUUGCCAGAAGAUUAGAUGGCAUGAAGUCUGCUUUCCUCUCUCUUUUUAUAUGGAGCCAGGUGGUGUAUGCAAGAAAAAUAUGGGCAGCAGCUUCCUGAUUGUAAUUUACCAAGAAGCAGCACAGUCUCUGCAGGAAAUAUGUCAGCAGCUCCAUUGUCCUCUUAUUUAAAGUAGGACAGACACCAAGCUUGAGAAAACUUGAAGAGGAGGACUCAGAGGCAGAAAAUGCGAGCAACCAAGUCAGUCCCAGUCAUGACUCACAAGCUCCAACUUCACUUAUGGAGUCAUCCAGUGAAAUCAAAUUGAUAGUGAGAACAGGGAGCAGCAAUGAUCAGAGCGAGCCAAAAGAGCUCUGUUGAGAGGAACCAUGUCAUUUUCUCAGCCAUUAUUGUUGGUGUCUCCCUGAAGACCAUUUACUUGGAACUUAGACAGGAGACUAAAUUCUGUGAUCUCUGGGUUUGCUUAGCUCUGUAGACAGCUGGUAUAUCACAUACAAAAUAUUACCCCACGCUCUCAUAGUGUGAUGAGUUGUUAAUAAAACCAUUCCAAAUUUUUGGUUCUCAUUCA